AACGAACGCUGGCGGCAGGCCUAACACAUGCAAGUCGAGCGAGGACUUCGGUCCUAGCGGCGGACGGGUGAGUAACGCGUGGGAACGUGCCCUUUGCUUCGGAAUAGCCCUGGGAAACUGGGAGUAAUACCGGAUGAGCCCUUUGGGGGAAAGAUUUAUCGGCGAAGGAUCGACCCGCGUUGGAUUAGGUAGUUGGUGGGGUAAUGGCCUACCAAGCCGACGAUCCAUAGCUGGUUUGAGAGGAUGAUCAGCCACACUGGGACUGAGACACGGCCCAGACUCCUACGGGAAGCAGCAGUGGGGAAUCUUAGACAAUGGGGGAAACCCUGAUCUAGCCAUGCCGCGUGAGCGAUGAAGGCCUUAGGGUUGUAAAGCUCUUUCAGCUGGGAAGAUAAUGACGGUACCAGCAGAAGAAGCCCCGGCUAACUCCGUG
rnacentral:rRNA from 1 species